rnacentral:rRNA from 1 species
CCUACGGGCGGCAGCAGUGGGGAAUAUUGGACAAUGGGGGGAACCCUGAUCCAGCCAUGCCGCGUGUGUGAAGAAGGCCCUCGGGUUGUAAAGCACUUUCAGUGAGGAAGAACGCCUGGUGGUUAAUACCCAUCAGGAAAGACAUCACUCACAGAAGAAGCACCGGCUAACUCCGUGCCAGCAGCCGCGGUAAUACGGAGGGUGCGAGCGUUAAUCGGAAUUACUGGGCGUAAAGCGCGCGUAGGUGGCUUGAUAAGCCGGUUGUGAAAGCCCCGGGCUCAACCUGGGAACGGCAUCCGGAACUGUCAAGCUAGAGUGCAGGAGAGGAAGGUAGAAUUCCCGGUGUAGCGGUGAAAUGCGUAAAGAUCGGGAGGAAUACCAGUGGCGAAGGCGGCCUUCUGGACUGACACUGACACUGAGGUGCGAAAGCGUGGGUAGCAAACAGGAUUAGAUACCCUUGUAGUC